UCAUGAAGUUUUAUUGAGGUGGUUGAUGGUGUUGAGGAGUGGUUCAUACUAAAAGGAAUGCAUUUUGGCUGUAAAUGGAGAAAUUGGUUGAGGUUAAUUGAUAGGGCUGGUCAGGGAGGCUUCAUUAGGGGUUUCUUUGUGGGAGAUGAGAUAGAGGAAAUCUCACUUUUUUUUUUUCUGUGAAGCUUCACAAGAGCAGAUGAUGCACCUAAGAUAAGUGGCUGUUGUGGAGAUACCUGAAUUAGAGCAUCUAGCAGAUAUACUCGGGUGUAAUGUUGGAAAGCUACCAACAAAGUAUUUGGGCUUGCCACUAGGGGCUUGAUGCAUUUCCCAACAAUAUUUGAGAUCCAACUGGUAACAAAGGAUAUAACAUUAAACAGAACGGAAUGGCGAAACAGGAUUCAUGUAGCUGACCCCAAAUAUUUGGGAUAAGGGUUGGAUGAUGGUGAUUUGGGAUCUUAUGGUAGAACAUUUUGAUAAAAGACUGGCUUCUUGGAAGGCUAGAUGCCUAUUAAGGUCAGUAAUUGGGAGUGUAUUAUCCUUGAUUCCCUAUUAUUUUCUAUCACAUUUCCCUUUGCCAUCUACAGCAGCAAAAAAGUUGGAAAAAGUAAUGAGGGAUUUUUAUGAAGGGAUGGGAUGGAAGGAUGAUAUCAAAUUCCAUUUGGUUGCUUGGAAGAAGGUAUACAUGCCAAAGAAUGAAAGUGGCUUGGGGAGGGCUAUGAACACUGUCCUGCUAGGCAAGUGGUUUUGGGGUUUCAUUGAACAACAAGACAACUUAUGGGGGCAAGUUAUUUAUCCAAAUAUGGCACAAGAAAUAGGUAACUUUUGGAGGGAUAAAUGGUGUGAUGAUCUUCCACUUAUGGUGAUUUAUCCAAAUUUAUACAUGGCAGUUUAUAACAAGGAUGUACUAGUUAGUGAUUGUUAUGAGAUCCAUGACAGCACAGUUGUAUGGAAUUCCUGAUUUAGAUGUUAGAGAAAUGCCUACUGCUGUUGAGAAGGGGCAUGGUGAUGGAUAAUAAUGAUUGUAUUUUGCUCUGAUGAGUA